rnacentral:rRNA from 1 species
CACUCCUACGGGAGGCAGCAGUGGGGAAUUUUGGACAAUGGGCGAAAGCCUGAUCCAGCAAUGCCGCGUGAGUGAAGAAGGCCUUCGGGUUGUAAAGCUCUUUUGUCAGGGAAGAAACGGUGAAAGCUAAUAUCUUUUGCUAAUGACGGUACCUGAAGAAUAAGCACCGGCUAACUACGUGCCAGCAGCCGCGGUAAUACGUAGGGUGCAAGCGUUAAUCGGAAUUACUGGGCGUAAAGCGUGCGCAGGCGGUUUUGUAAGUCUGAUGUGAAAUCCCCGGGCUCAACCUGGGAAUUGCAUUGGAGACUGCAAGGCUAGAAUCUGGCAGAGGGGGGUAGAAUUCCACGUGUAGCAGUGAAAUGCGUAGAUAUGUGGAGGAACACCGAUGGCGAAGGCAGCCCCCUGGGUCAAGAUUGACGCUCAUGCACGAAAGCGUGGGGAGCAAACAGGAUUAGAAACCCCAGUAGUCCCAUGA